rnacentral:rRNA from 1 species
UGGGGAAUAUUGCACAAUGGGCGCAAGCCUGAUGCAGCCAUGCCGCGUGUAUGAAGAAGGCCUUCGGGUUGUAAAGUACUCUCAGCGGGGAGGAAGGGAGUAAAGUUAAUACCUUUGCUCAUUGACGUUACCGACAGAAGAAGCACCGGCUAACUCCGUGCCAGCAGCCGCGGUAAUACGGAGGGUGCAAGCGUUAAUCGGAAUUACUGGGCGUAAAGCGCACGCAGGCGGUUGAUUGAGUCAGAUGUGAAAUCCCCGGGCUUAACCCGGGAAUUGCAUCUGAUACUGGUCAGCUAGAGUCUUGUAGAGGGGGGUAGAAUUCCAUGUGUAGCUGUGAAAUGCGUAGAGAUGUGGGGGAAUACCGGUGGCGAGGGCGGCCCCCUGGACAAAGACUGACGCUCAGGUGCGAAAGCGUGGGGAGCAAACAGA